rnacentral:rRNA from 1 species
CCUACGGGGGGCAGCAGUGGGGAAUAUUGGACAAUGGGGGCAACCCUGAUCCAGCCAUGCCGCGUGUGUGAAGAAGGCCCUCGGGUUGUAAAGCACUUUCAGUGAGGAAGAACGCCUGGUGGUUAAUACCCAUCAGGAAAGACAUCACUCACAGAAGAAGCACCGGCUAACUCCGUGCCAGCAGCCGCGGUAAUACGGAGGGUGCGAGCGUUAAUCGGAAUUACUGGGCGUAAAGCGCGCGUAGGUGGCUUGAUAAGCCGGUUGUGAAAGCUCCGGGCUCAACCUGGGAACGGCAUCCGGAACUGUCAAGCUAGAGUGCAGGAGAGGAAGGUAGAAUUCCCGGUGUAGCGGUGAAAUGCGUAGAGAUCGGGAGGAAUACCAGUGGCGAAGGCGGCCUUCUGGACUGACACUGACACUGAGGUGCGAAAGCGUGGGUAGCAAACAGGAUUAGAUACCCUAGUAGUC